GAUGAACGCUGGCGGCGUGCUUAACACAUGCAAGUCGAGCGAAGCACUAAAGCGGAUUUCUUCGGAUUGAAGGUUUAGUGACUGAGCGGCGGACGGGUGAGUAACGCGUGGGUAACCUSCCUCAUACAGGGGGAUAACAGUUGGAAACGGCUGCUAAUWCCGCAUAAGCGCACAGUACCGCAYGGUACGGUKKGRAAAACUCCGGUGGUAUGAGAUGGACCCGCGUCUGAUUAGGUAGUUGGUGGGGUAACGGCCUACCAAGCCGACGAUCAGUAGCCGACCUGAGAGGGUGACCGGCCACAUUGGGACUGAGACACGGCCCAAACUCCUACGGGAGGCAGCAGUGGGGAAUAUUGCACAAUGGGGGAAACCCUGAUGCAGCGACGCCGCGUGAGCGAAGAAGUAUUUCGGUAU
rnacentral:rRNA from 1 species